rnacentral:lncRNA from 1 species
CUUGUAUUCAAAAGAUUUUCAUUUGAGGUCAUUUAGUGCCUUGUUUGACCAGGUUUGACCAAGUCACGCCUUGGAUUUUUGAAAAAUGUGACUAGAGUUUACUAGAACUUUUCUAAAUGCAAAAUUGUACUAUGUAUCAAAGGUAGACCUUGGUGAGGUCUAACUUCUUUGUAUUCAAAAGUUUUUUAUUUGAGGUAUUUUAUUGGCUAGUUUGACCAAGUCAAACAUUGGAUUUUUCAGAAAAAAAUACUUUGACCGGACCCUAGAUGGUCCCAGCUACAAAAGUCAUGAAUAAACAAAAAAUACAUAUUGAAAAACCUACAUGGGGCUCUAACUGAUGCCUGCGAAUGUGGUCAGGAGACUGAGAUGCCAAGUUUUGGAUCUCUUUUUGCCAGCAUCCAAACUCCAGAAUACAAAAAGUGUCGAACACUCCCCUCUAGCAGAAAAGGGAUUGGUCUUCAGUGGCUAGCGCGAGAUGAAAUGGUCGCAGGUCCCAGGUUCAAACCCUGUGGCUGCCGACAUUUUUGUGUUUUUUUUUUGAUUUUUUUAUCCAAUCCUAUAUGGGGCUAUAACUAUGGUGUUUUUUUUUGAAUUUUUUUCAUCCAAUCCUACAUGGGGCUCUAACUAGGGCAUACGGUAGUGUGCACCAACGACUAAAGAGGAUAACAUAAUAUUUUAAAAAUAACUAUAAUAGAUUUAUAUUUAUAAUGAUCAAUAAUUGUUACAAUCUAUCAUCACAAAUACUAAUAUUUUGGUGUUUUCUUUUGAAAUUUUCUUCCUCCAAUCCUACGUGGGACUAGGAGUUAACUAGGACGGAGAUAAUUUACCUAGGACAUAUGAUAGUGUGCACCAAUGACCAUGUGGGAUAACAAGAUAUUUUAAAAAUAAUUGUAAUAGAUUUAUAUUUUAUGACAACUAACUAUUGUCACAAUCUAUCGUCAUAAAUCCCAUGCAGCUAGAUGCUAUGACGUUGUUUAUGACGAAGACAUAGUUUGGUCAUAAACUUUUGUCAUCCACUAAACAGUCGUCAUAAACAGCCUGCAUUUAUGACAGAUAGGUGUUCUGUCAUCUGGUAAUCGUCAUAGAAGCCCAGAUUUCUUAUAGUGUGUGCCCACUUUACUUUUCUGAAAAGUAUAGACCUCAAAAAAGCAAGCAUAUUCACCGCAAGGUGAAGUGUGACCACUUAGUCCCCGAGCCUGGUAGUAGGUGACGUAGGCACAUGGUGCCAGGGUCAAAAAAGUUUUCAUAGAAAUUUCAAAAUUGUGAUGCAUCGCCAGAUGCAUCGUACUGAUGUAGUCCCCGAGCUUGCUGGAAGGCGAAGUAUGAGCCUUGUAGCAAGGUCUAAAAAUUGAAUUACCUAGUCCAAUUCAUAUGUAACUAAGAAAAGCAGUCCCCAAGCUACGGUCGGAGAGUGAUCGAAGCAAGUCCCGAGCACAGCGCAUGGAGUGAUUGAUGAGUCUUCGAGCACGAUCGGUAGUC